rnacentral:rRNA from 1 species
UACGUAGGGGGCAAGCGUUGUCCGGAAUCAUUGGGCGUAAAGCGCGUGUAGGCGGCUCACUAAGUCCGCUCUGAAAGCCCGGGGCUCAACCCCGGGAGGCGGGUGGAGACUGGUGAGCUUGAGUCCGGAAGAGGCGAGUGGAAUUCCCGGUGUAGCGGUGAAAUGCGCAGAGAUCGGGAGGAACACCAAUGGCGAAGGCAGCUCGCUGGGACGUGACUGACGCUGAGACGCGAAAGCGUGGGGAGCAAACAGG